UACGUAGGGUGCGAGCGUUGUCCGGAAUUAUUGGGCGUAAAGCGCGCGUAGGCGGCUUUGCAAGUCGGGUGUGAAAUCCCCAGGCUUAACCUGGGAACUGCAUUCGAGACUGCAUUGCUAGAGUAUGGGAGAGGGAAGUGGAAUUUCCGGUGUAGCGGUGAAAUGCGUAGAUAUCGGAAGGAACAUCAGUGGCGAAAGCGACUUCCUGGACCAAUACUGACGCUCAUGUGUGAAAGCGUGGGGAGCAAACAGG
rnacentral:rRNA from 1 species